UGCCAAGAGCCUUGCCCCCCAUCACCACCCCAACAACAAUGCCAGGAUCCUUGCAAGCCACAGCUGGUGUGUCCUGAACCAAAAUGUCCUCCUCCACAAGAGCCAUGUCAGCAACAGCAAGACCAGAAAUGUGUGAAGAAAUAGAGAAAUCAAGAAUCUAAGACUUCCUUACGGAGAGAUUCUUAUAUGAUUUAUUAUGUGAUUACUCAUAUAUCUGUUUAUUGAUUGUAUUUAAGUGAAUCAAUUAAAGUUUCUUAAAUACAACCCACAGAA